rnacentral:rRNA from 1 species
GGUGAGUAAUAUAUCGGAACGUACCCGGAAAUGGGGGAUAACGCAGCGAAAGUUGCGCUAAUACCGCAUAUGCCCUGAGGGGGAAAGCGGGGGAUCCGCAAGGACCUCGCGUUUUCGGAGCGGCCGAUAUCUGAUUAGCUAGUUGGUGGGGUAAAGGCCCACCAAGGCGACGAUCAGUAGCUGGUCUGAGAGGACGACCAGCCACACUGGAACUGAGACACGGUCCAGACUCCUACGGGAGGCAGCAGUGGGGAAUUUUGGACAAUGGGCGCAAGCCUGAUCCAGCCAUUCCGCGUGAGUGAAGAAGGCCUUCGGGUUGUAAAGCUCUUUCGCAAGGGAAGAAAACUUAGGCUCUAACAUAGUCUGAGGUUGACGGAACCUUGAUAAGAAGCACCGGCUAACUACGUGCCAGCAGCCGCGGUAAUACGUAGGGUGCGAGCGUUAAUCGGAAUUACUGGGCGUAAAGCGUGCGCAAGCGGUUUUGUAAGUCAGAUGUGAAAUCCCCGAGCUCAACUUGUGAACUGCGUUUGAAACUACAAGACUAGAAUAUGCCAGAGGGGGGUAGAAUUCCACGUGUAGCAGUGAAAUGCGUAGAGAUGUGGAGGAAUACCAAUGGCGAAGGCAGCCCCCUGGGAUAAUAUUGACGCUCAUGCACGAAAGCGUGGGGUGCAAACAGGAUUAGAUACUCUGGUAGUCCACGCUCCUACACGAUGUCUACUAGUUGUUGGUAGUAGUAAAAUCCAUGAGUAACGCAGCUGACGCGUGUAGUAGACCUGCCUGGUGCAGUACCGCUCCGCAAGAUUA